GCGGAAGUGGCGGAAUUGGUAGACGCGCAGGCCUCAGGAGUCUGUGGGGCAACCCGUGAGAGUUCGAAUCUCUCUUUCCGCACCA
rnacentral:tRNA from 1 species